GACGUAGGGCGCGAGCGUUGUCCGGAUUUAUUGGGCGUAAAGAGCUCGUAGGCGGCUUGUCGCGUCGACUGUGAAAACCCGCGGCUCAACCGCGGGCUUGCAGUCGAUACGGGCAGGCUAGAGUUGGUAGGGGAGACUGGAAUUCCUGGUGUAGCGGUGAAAUGCGCAGAUAUCAGGAGGAACACCGGUGGCGAAGGCGGAUCUCUGGCCAAUGACUGACGCUGAGGAGCGAAAGCGUGGGGAGCGAACAGG
rnacentral:rRNA from 1 species